UACGUAGGGGGCUAGCGUUGUCCGGAUUUAUUGGGCGUAAAGAGCGUGUAGGCGGCCAGGUAGGUCUGGUGUGAAAACUCGAGGCUUAACCUCGAGAUGUCAUCGGAAACCAUCUGGCUAGAGUCCGGAAGAGGAGAGUGGAAUUCCUGGUGUAGCGGUGAAAUGCGCAGAUAUCAGGAAGAACACCAAUGGCGAAAGCAGCUCUCUGGGACGGUACUGACGCUGAGACGCGAAAGCGUGGGGAGCGAACAAG
rnacentral:rRNA from 1 species